AGUGAACGCUGGCGGCAGGCCUAAUACAUGCAAGUCGAACGGCAGCACAGUAAGCGCUUGCCCUUACGGGUGGCGAGUGACGGGUGGGUGACGCAUACAUAGGCAUCUAAUUUUUCGUGGGGAAUAACGUAGGGCAACUUCUGAUACUACAGAACAUGUUCUACCGGUGAAAGCAGGGGUUAUUCGGGCCUUGCCCGCUCGAAUGAGCCGGUUGCGGAUUAGCUAGUUGGGGGGGUAAAGGCACACCAAGGCGACGGACCGUAGCUGGUCUGAGAGGAAGAUCGGCCACACUGGAACUGAGACACGGUCCAGACUCCUACGGGAGGAAGCAGUGGGGAAUAUUGGACAAUGGGCGCAAGCCUGAUCCAGCCAUACCGCGUGGGUGAUGAAGGCCUUCGGAUUGUAAAGCCCUUUUGUUGGGAAAGAAAAUCAGUAGAUUAAUACCCCGCUAUUCUGACGGUACCCAAAGAAUAAGCACCGGCUAACUUCGUG
rnacentral:rRNA from 1 species